CUUUAGUUAGCUAAUUUUAAGUAUUAGACUCUUAAUCUAAACAUGACAGUUAAAUUCUGUCACUAAGGG
rnacentral:tRNA from 1 species